CCGCGGGGCUGCAUGGCCCUGCGGCCAAAGGGAGCGAUUCCGGCAACGGAUGGGCAUGCGUGACAUUAGCUAGUUGGCGGGGCAACGGCCCACCAAGGCGACGAUGUCUAGGGGUUCUGAGAGGAAGGUCCCCCACACUGGUACUGAGACACGGACCAGACUCCUACGGGAGGCAGCAGUGAGGAAUAUUGGUCAAUGGGCGCGAGCCUGAACCAGCCAAGUCGCGUGAGGGAUGACGGCCCUACGGGUUGUAAACCUCUUUUGUCGGGGAGCAAAUUCCGCCACGUGUGGCGGAGUCGAGAGUACCCGAAGAAAAAGCAUCGGCUAACUCCGUGCCAGCAGCCGCGGUAAUACGGAGGAUGCGAGCGUUAUCCGGAUUUAUUGGGUUUAAAGGGUGCGUAGGCGGACUGUCAAGUCAGCGGUAAAAUACGGGGGCUCAACCUCCGCCCGCCGUUGAAACUGACGGUCUUGAGUGGGCGAGAAGUAUGCGGAAUGCGUGGUGUAGCGGUGAAAUGCAUAGAUAUCACGCAGAACUCCGAUUGCGAAGGCAGCAUACCGGCGCCCGACUGACGCUGAAGCACGAAAGCGUGGGUAUCGAACAGGAUUAGAUACCCUGGUAGUCCACGCAGUAAACGAU
rnacentral:rRNA from 1 species